CUGGGGCCGGGGUGGGGACUCGCCUGAUCCCGCCCGCUGCCACCUCCCUUCCCCUCCCACCGCCCGCUGCGCGGAGCCCGGCAGAGCCCGGCGGGGCAGGCGGCGGAGCCGGGCAGCUCCAGGAAUUGGAAAAAAUCGGAAAGGACUUAGCAAAUUCCCCAGGGCAAGAAGAAUAUAAACACCUCAAACCUGAACAGAUGAUAAAUCAGUAUUAAGGCACUGUUAUCACCUUAGCUGUGGAACUACAGCUACAGGCAAAGUAAAACCAGCCAUUAACUGUCAGCACCAGGACCACGGGGCAGGCUCAUCCUUAAUGCAAAGUGAAGUUCAGCAGUGACUGAGCCGAGCUGUGGAGGCACCUUGUACCUGUAUGGGGAAUGGAGGUGGCUGGGCUUUCCCAGUUCAGCCUUGAUGCAUGUGCCAGGGGUGAGCACUUUGUUCUGGCAGAGCCCCCAGCGAAGCUGAUGUUGGACACAGUGCCUGCCUCUGUGCUGGGACAGCUGCCAGACACCGCUGCCACCGCUCCUGGGCUGCGCUCUGCGAGCAUCCCUCCUUCGUGCCAGCUGGGCAUGCUGAGCCCCGCUUACUCCCAGGUAUCCACAGUUAUUUGCUAA
rnacentral:lncRNA from 1 species